GAUGAACGCUGGCGGCGUGCCUAAUACAUGCAAGUCGAGCGAACAGAUAAGGAGCUUGCUCCUUUGACGUUAGCGGCGGACGGGUGAGUAACACGUGGGUAACCUACCUAUAAGACUGGAAUAACUCCGGGAAACCGGGGCUAAUGCCGGAUAACAUUUAGAACCGCAUGGUUCUAAAGUGAAAGAUGGUUUUGCUAUCACUUAUAGAUGGACCCGCGCCGUAUUAGCUAGUUGGUAAGGUAACGGCUUACCAAGGCAACGAUACGUAGCCGACCUGAGAGGGUGAUCGGCCACACUGGAACUGAGACACGGUCCAGACUCCUACGGGAGGCAGCAGUAAGGAAUCUUCCGCAAUGGGCGAAAGCCUGACGGAGCAACGCCGCGUGAGUGAUGAAGGUCUUCGGAUCGUAAAACUCUGUUAUUAGGGAAGAACAAAUGUGUAAGUAACUGUGCACGUCUUGACGGUACCUAAUCAGAAAGCCACGGCUAACGACGUG
rnacentral:rRNA from 1 species